AUUGACAGAUUUCUAAUGUCUAUUUUUCCCAAUCAACCGUCACAAAAAUGGCUGCGCUUAGAGUAUUUAGCCGUAAUUUACCAUAUUUUCGUCAACAAUUUUCAGCAUUACUAGGAAACACAUCUCCUUCAGUGAAAUUUAUUUGCGUUGUCGUAGUAAUAGGAUAUGUGUUAUCGUUCUCUGAAGAUGUCGUGAACGUUCUAAGUGUAACUCCAGGAUAUUUGUUGCCCCCUUCGUUUCAAUUGUGGUCUACUUUUACGUUCUGGUUUCUCGAGAUACACUUAUGGGAAGUAGUGAUCGACAUAGUAACUGUGGGAUUGUGUGGGAAGUUAAUAGAGCCGCUAUGGGGCCAAAUGGAAAUGAUGAAGUUCUUCUUUCUGACGAACUUUGGCGUGGCAUUUCUGACGACGUUUUACUACUUGGUGAUAUUUGCGUGCACAGGCCAGACAUCGUAUCUGUUUGACAUACAUGUGCACGGCCUGGCGGGGUACCUGGCCGCGGUGUGUGUGGCAGUGAAGCAGAUAUUACCUGACCAUCUACUUGUAAAGACACCCUUAGGCAAACUUACAAACAGAUCUCUACCACUUCUACUGCUUAUAGCGGCUAUAAUUUUAUGGGCUAUUGGAGCCCUGGAGGGCACCUACCCUUGCAUGUGGGGCAGUGGGACCAUUCUGUCCUGGAUGUACCUGAGAUUCUGGCAGAGACAUAGUAGUGGAACCCGAGGCGAUAUGGCUGAUAACUUCAGCUUCGACAACUUCUUCCCGACAGUCCUGCAGCCGAUAGUGCGGGGCAUCCUGGGCCCGCCGCACCGCUGCCUCGUGCGCGUCGGGCUGUGCGCGCCCAGCCAGCGCCGCGUGCACCUCGCCAUGAGCCCGCGCGGCGUCACUAUAUCCAUGCCCGGCGUCGAGCCGCAGGAUAUGGAGAGGAGGCGACAAAUCGCGCUCAAAGCUCUAAGCGAGCGUCUCUCCAAAACCUCAGAGCAGACGCGACAGAAGAACCUCUCGACGAAAGUGAACAUUGAGGCGGUGCGCAAGGCGCAGGCCUCCAACGUCAUCCCGGCCUUCCCUGCCGAGCCGGCGCCGCAGGAAGCCACGCUGGUGGACCUGGAGCCGCCCACGACGAAACACUCAUGAUCUAUCAGCUAUCUGUAGUUAGGGAUCGGUUGUAAUUAGGUACUGGGUUUAGGUCUGGUGAAUCCUCGCGCCGCUUAUGGCCAAUGUGGUAAAGCAAGACCAGAAAUAUAUGAUCUGCCAUGUUACGGAAUUUCAUCAGAACCAUUUUCUUCAUAUUAUACUGAUCUGUCACCUCAUACAUCAGAAUAAGGGUGCUGUUAUUAUAUCUUGACAUUAGUCAUAUAUUUCCGGUCAGGCUACAUUUACAUAAAGCCUGACCAUAAAUAUAUGACUAUUGUCAGGAGGCGCUGUUAGAGUGAAAGUUCAGUUUAGUAUGAAGAAAAUAGUUGUAAUGAAAUUCCGCAACGUGGUGCAUAGUCGUAUAUUUCUGGGCAAGCUUGGAUAGGAUAGAUAAAGAGUAGGUAACUUGACCGUAACUACAGUAACAAAUCGUUUUAGCAAAAAAAAUAAUCUGAUUUGAUUAGUAGUUUAAUACCCUAUAGCGUUCUUUUUCUGCCGUUGCAAGUUUAAAUUUGGCCAUUUACCGCGUGAGGACAUUGCUCGCUCUGUAUGGAUUUAUUCGCGCUGUAUUCGCCAGAUCUGGACGUACCGUACGCAUAGAAAAGGAAUGACCAGGCAGUCCAGCACUGUACUUUAAAUUAUUUGAAAUUCUAUGAAUAAUUUUAUUGUAGAGUAUGCCUUGAAGAACGCAAUAAGUAAGACUGUACUUGGUUGUUUACGUUUUUGUGUUCUUACAGACAUAUUUUACAAUAAUAUUUAAUAACGGUAAGAUUUUUGAUAAUUUAAAACACUAUAAAGGAAGUAGUGCUAAAGUUAGAAAAUAAAUCGUUAAAUAUUGUUUUAUAAAAUAUAUUUCACUAACUUUAGCACUGUUAGAAUUCUACUUUACCACUUUUUGACAGAUACAUUCUCUCAAUCGCGAUGGCCUGAAACGCCAAGUGCCUUUUAAGUCGAUCACCGAGAUGAAUUAUAAUCGGGUCGUAAAUGAUGAUCGGAACAAUGUUUUAAUUUUAUGGCAGCGUGGUCGCGUAGGCACGUUAGUGUACGGCAAAGACAUAUAUAACUCCGUAUAGACAGAUAGUCUAAGAAAAAAACGCACCUCAGUACUAUACAGAAAAAGGUACGGUGACCUAGAUGGCAUUACACCUUUGGGGUACGCUCAGCUAGAUG
rnacentral:misc_RNA from 1 species